rnacentral:sRNA from 1 species
CGAGGCCUGGGCGGCCUGAGGAGCGCGGACCCCGGCGCUCGGCUCCCGGCGCCAUGUGAGGGGGCUCGGGGGCCGCGGGGGGCCGGGCGCUCCCCGCCGGAGAUGAGGAAACUGAGGCUCAGAGAGGUCACAUGGCUUGCUCGAGGCCCCCCAGCCAGUGUGAACCCACAUCCCUGCCCCCAGGGCCACCUGCAGGACGCCGACACCUACCCCUCAGCAGACGCCGGAGAGAAAUGAGUAGCAACAAACUCCAACAGUGCCAAUGAGGUCUUCCAUUACGGCUCCCUGCGGGGCCGUAGCCGCCGACCUGUCAACCUCAAGAAGUGGAGCAUCACUGACGGCUAUGUCCCCAUUCUCGGCAACAAGACACUGCCCUCUCGGUGCCACCAGUGUGUGAUUGUCAGCAGCUCCAGCCACCUGCUGGGCACCAAGCUGGGCCCUGAGAUCGAGCGGGCUGAGUGUACAAUCCGCAUGAAUGAUGCACCCACCACUGGCUACUCAGCUGAUGUGGGCAACAAGACCACCUACCGCGUCGUGGCCCAUUCCAGUGUGUUCCGCGUGCUGAGGAGGCCCCAGGAGUUUGUCAACCGGACCCCUGAAACCGUGUUCAUCUUCUGGGGGCCCCCGAGCAAGAUGCAGAAGCCCCAGGGCAGCCUCGUGCGUGUGAUCCAGCGAGCGGGUCUGGCGUUCCCCAACAUGGAAGCAUAUGCCG